rnacentral:rRNA from 1 species
UACGUAGGGGGCAAGCGUUGUCCGGAUUUAUUGGGCGUAAAGAGCGUGUAGGCGGCCACACAGGUCCGCUGUGAAAACUCGAGGCUCAACCUCGAGCUGUCGGUGGAAACCGUGUGGCUAGAGUCCGGAAGAGGAGAGUGGAAUUCCCGGUGUAGCGGUGAAAUGCGCAGAUAUCGGGAGGAACACCGGUGGCGAAGGCGGCAUCCUGGACCAACACUGACGCUGAGGAGCGAAAGCCAGGGGAGCAAACGGG